rnacentral:rRNA from 1 species
ACGAACGCUGGCGGCGUGCCUAAUACAUGCAAGUAGAACGCUGAAGAGAGGAGCUUGCUCUUCUUGGAUGAGUUGCGAACGGGUGAGUAACGCGUAGGUAACCUGCCUUGUAGCGGGGGAUAACUAUUGGAAACGAUAGCUAAUACCGCAUAACAAUGGAUGACACAUGUCAUUUAUUUGAAAGGGGCAAUUGUUCCACUACAAGAUGGACCUGCGUUGUAUUAGCUAGUAGGUGAGGUAAUGGCUCACCUAGGCGACGAUACAUAGCCGACCUGAGAGGGUGAUCGGCCACACUGGGACUGAGACACGGCCCAGACUCCUACGGGAGGCAGCAGUAGGGAAUCUUCGGCAAUGGGGGCAACCCUGACCGAGCAACGCCGCGUGAGUGAAGAAGGUUUUCGGAUCGUAAAGCUCUGUUGUAAGUCAAGAACGGGUGUGAGAGUGGAAAGUUCACACUGUGACGGUAGCUUACCAGAAAGGGACGGCUAACUACGUGCCAGCAGCCGCGGUAAUACGUAGGUCCCGAGCGUUGUCCGGAUUUAUUGGGCGUAAAGCGAGCGCAGGCGGUUUGAUAAGUCUGAAGUUAAAGGCUGUGGCUCAACCAUAGUUCGCUUUGGAAACUGUCAAACUUGAGUGCAGAAGGGGAGAGUGGAAUUCCAUGUGUAGCGGUGAAAUGCGUAGAUAUAUGGAGGAACACCGGUGGCGAAAGCGGCUCUCUGGUCUGUAACUGACGCUGAGGCUCGAAAGCGUGGGGAGCGAACAGGAUUAGAUACCCUGGUAGUCCACGCCGUAAACGAUGAGUGCUAGGUGUUGGAUCCUUUCCGGGAUUCAGUGCCGCAGCUAACGCAUUAAGCACUCCGCCUGGGGAGUACGACCGCGAGGUUGAAACUCAAAGGAAUUGACGGGGGCCCGCACAAGCGGUGGAGCAUGUGGUUUAAUUCGAAGCAACGCGAAGAACCUUACCAGGUCUUGACAUCCCGAUGCUAUUUCUAGAGAUAGAAAGUUACUUCGGUACAUCGGUGACAGGUGGUGCAUGGUUGUCGUCAGCUCGUGUCGUGAGAUGUUGGGUUAAGUCCCGCAACGAGCGCAACCCUUAUUGCCAGUUACUACGCAAGAGGACUCUGGCGAGACUGCCGUUGACAAAACGGAGGAAGGUGGGGAUGACGUCAAAUCAUCAUGCCCCUUAUGACCUGGGCUACACACGUGCUACAAUGGUUGGUACAACGAGUUGCGAGUCGGUGACGGCGAGCUAAUCUCUUAAAGCCAAUCUCAGUUCGGAUUGUAGGCUGCAACUCGCCUACAUGAAGUCGGAAUCGCUAGUAAUCGCGGAUCAGCACGCCGCGGUGAAUACGUUCCCGGGCCUUGUACACACCGCCCGUCACACCACGAGAGUUUGUAACACCCGAAGUCGGUGAGGUAACCUUUUGGAGCCAGCCGCCUAAGGUGGGACAGAUGAUUGGGGUG